rnacentral:rRNA from 1 species
AUGAUCCACAAGAGCAACUUGAAGAGCAAGAGAGUCAGCACCAUCAAAAUCAAGCUACCCUUGCGCAAGCACAAGAAAGGCAACGCCAAUGCGAACAAGAGGAAGUGCAAGAACGCCAACGCCAAUGAGAGCAAAUCCAAGAGCGACAACGCCAACAUCAAGAUGAGCAAGACGCCGACGCUCUCCGUCAACAACAACAAUGGCGUGAAGCACAAGCCCUUGAGGCGCAACGUGCCCUCCUUGACACCAGUCGUGUCGUCGCCGCUGAUACGUCUCCGUCGUAUCUAUAAUUUUUUAUUGUUCCAUGCCAACAUUCUACAACUUUCAUAUACUUUUGGCAACUUUUUAUAUUAUUUUUUGGGACUAACAUAUUGA